GUCCUAGCUGUAAACGAUGGACACUAGGUGUUGGAGGCAUCGACCCCUUCAGUGCUGUUCUGCUAACGCGUUAAGUGUCCCGCCUGGGGAGUACGGCCGCAAGGUUGAAACUCAAAGGAAUUGACGGGGGCCCGCACAAGCGGUGGAGCAUGUUGGUCAAUUGGAUGAUACGCCAAGAACCUUACCAGGGUUUGACAUGUUUGGGACAGCUGGUGAAAGCCAGUCUCCGUAGCAAUACGGCCCAUUCACAGGUGGUGCAUGGUUGUCGU
rnacentral:rRNA from 1 species